CCCCGCUUGGUGUAGUUGGUUAUCGCGUCCGGCUGUAAUUUCAAUAGUCGACUUUCGGCACACCGAAAGCAAACCGGAAGGCCCCCAGUUCGAUUCUGGGAGCGGGGA
rfam:Fungal sp. No.11243 DNA, scaffold: sccafold0017.